UACGGGGGGGGCAAGCGUUGUUCGGAAUUACUGGGCGUAAAGGGCUCGUAGGUGGCCAACUAAGUCAGACGUGAAAUCCCUCGGCUUAACCGGGGAACUGCGUCUGAUACUGGAUGGCUUGAGUUCGGGAGAGGGAUGCGGAAUUCCAGGUGUAGCGGUGAAAUGCGUAGAUAUCUGGAGGAACACCGGUGGCGAAGGCGGCUUUCUGGACAGAUACCGACGCUGAGGCACGAAAGCUAGGGGAGCAAACAGG
rnacentral:rRNA from 1 species